rnacentral:rRNA from 1 species
UGUUGGGUUAGGUCCCGCAACGAGCGCAACCCUUAUCCUUGUUUGCCAGCGAGUAAUGUCGGGAACUCCAGGAAGACUGCCGGUGAUAAACCGGAGGAAGGUGGGGACGACGUCAAGUCAUCAUGGCCCUUACGAGUAGGGCUACACACGUGCUACAAUGGCGCAUACAGAGGGCGGCCAACUUGCGAGAGUGAGCGAAUCCCAAAAAGUGCGUCGUAGUCCGGAUCGGAGUCUGCAACUCGACUCCGUGAAGUCGGAAUCGCUAGUAAUCGUGGAUCAGAAUGCCACGGUGAAUACGUUCCCGGGCCUUGUACACACCGCCCGU